GCCAGGGUGGCGAAAUUGGUAGACGCACGGGAUUCAAAAUCCCGCGGUGGAAACACUGUAUCGGUUCGAGUCCGAUCCUUGGCACCA
rnacentral:tRNA from 1 species